rnacentral:rRNA from 1 species
AGGACGAACGCUGGCGGCGUGCCUAAUACAUGCAAGUCGAGCGGACAGAUGGGAGCUUGCUCCCUGAUGUUAGCGGCGGACGGGUGAGUAACACGUGGGUAACCUGCCUGUAAGACUGGGAUAACUCCGGGAAACCGGGGCUAAUACCGGAUGCUUGUUUGAACCGCAUGGUUCAAACAUAAAAAGGUGGCUUCGGCUACCACUUACAGAUGGACCCGCGGCGGCAUUAGCUAGUUGGUGAGGUAAUGGCUCACCAAGGGCAACGAUGCGUAGCCGACCUGAGAGGGUGAUCGGCCACACUGGGACUGAGACACCGGCCCAGACUCCCUACGGGAGGCAGCAGUAGGGAAUCUUCCGCAAUGGACGAAAGUCUGACGGAGCAACGCCGCGUGAGUGAUGAAGGUUUUCGGAUCGUAAAGCUCUGUUGUUAGGGAAGAACAAGUGCCGUUCGAAUAGGGCGGCACCUUGACGGUACCUAACCAGAAAGCCACGGCUAACUACGUGCCAGCAGCCGCGGUAAUACGUAGGUGGCAAGCGUUGUCCGGAAUUAUUGGGCGUAAAGGGCUCGCAGGCGGUUUCUUAAGUCUGAUGUGAAAGCCCCCGGCUCAACCGGGGAGGGUCAUUGGAAACUGGGGAACUUGAGUGCAGAAGAGGAGAGUGGAAUUCCACGUGUAGCGGUGAAAUGCGUAGAGAUGUGGAGGAACACCAGUGGCGAAGGCGACUCUCUGGUCUGUAACUGACGCUGAGGAGCGAAAGCGUGGGGAGCGAACAGGAUUAGAUACCCUGGUAGUCCACGCCGUAAACGAUGAGUGCUAAGUGUUAGGGGGUUUCCGCCCCUUAGUGCUGCAGCUAACGCAUUAAGCACUCCGCCUGGGGAGUACGGUCGCAAGACUGAAACUCAAAGGAAUUGACGGGGGCCCGCACAAGCGGUGGAGCAUGUGGUUUAAUUCGAAGCAACGCGAAGAACCUUACCAGGUCUUGACAUCCUCUGACAAUCCUAGAGAUAGGACGUCCCCUUCGGGGGCAGAGUGACAGGUGGUGCAUGGUUGUCGUCAGCUCGUGUCGUGAGAUGUUGGGUUAAGUCCCGCAACGAGCGCAACCCUUGAUCUUAGUUGCCAGCAUUCAGUUGGGCACUCUAAGGUGACUGCCGGUGACAAACCGGAGGAAGGUGGGGAUGACGUCAAAUCAUCAUGCCCCUUAUGACCUGGGCUACACACGUGCUACAAUGGACAGAACAAAGGGCAGCGAAACCGCGAGGUUAAGCCAAUCCCACAAAUCUGUUCUCAGUUCGGAUCGCAGUCUGCAACUCGACUGCGUGAAGCUGGAAUCGCUAGUAAUCGCGGAUCAGCAUGCCGCGGUGAAUACGUUCCCGGGCCUUGUACACACCGCCCGUCACACCACGAGAGUUUGUAACACCCGAAGUCGGUGAGGUAACCUUUUAGGAGCCAGCCGCCGAAGGUGGGACAGAUGAUUGGGGUGAAGUCGUACAAGGGUAACCAAAAGGGUCGGCCCCGGGCCUUUAAUCUCCCCAGA